rnacentral:lncRNA from 1 species
ACUGGAAAGAAGGUGCAGUCUUCUGCCUUGCUGGAAUGAACACAUGAUGUUUCAAAAAUAGCAACCUUUGGUUUGGUAAAGUUUGUUUUUUUCUUCUACUCAAGACAUCUUAUAUGGAGUACUUGGAGGCAAAACAAAUGAUUUUUUUUUUCUUUCAAAAAAGGCCUUCAUGAUGGGCAUACAGUAAGAAUCAAACUUAUUUAAGAAGGAAAUGAAAAUGACAUUUCACUGAACAGGGAUAGAGGUGGCAGGAGGGAGGGGAAGGGUAAGAGUUCCCUUGUUAAAACAACAGUCCUCUGUUGGCAUGUCCUCUCGGCUCGGUGGCACUCGACGCAGUAACUGCUAGUAAUUGCACUACGGCAUUUCAGACCACUGAUGUAUCAAAACCUGGUACUAUUAAGAAACUUGGAUUUAUAAAACCUGUCUCUCUCUCUCUCUCUCUCUCUCUCAUUUGGGAAGGAAGUAGAUAAGGGGCAGAGAGCAUGGAAGGCUCCCGGAACCUGCUGUUUUGUAAGACCUGUGGUUGGGAUUUGGGGAAGAGAUGAGCAAACUUGAAUUGAUUCGGUCUCUUCCAGCUCUAGGGCUCCCUGGCACUACACAAAGUCCCUGGAUGGACUAAGUAUGAAAUGAAACCGGUCACCAUACUGACUGCGGAGGAAACAGCUGUUCAGAACCGAAACAAAAGCAGGGCUUAAAUGAAGUGAGAUCAUGGACGAGGUUUCCUCUUUGCACUCCUGAGCAUGGUAUCACUGAAAUUAACUGUGGAAGGGGCAAAGACACUGUUAGGAGUGAGCUAUUAUUUCAAAGGGAAAGGGGUAGGACAGGGAGACACGGGUAGAAAAACCAAUUAAAAUUUGAAAAAUGAUAAACAAAAACAAAAAACAAACACAUGGAAGCGAAGGCACUCCAAACUAUAUAGAUACACUAUACAUUGCUAGAGUUAUUGUUACAAUAAUACAGGCCGGUACCUACUGUACAGAGUUAAAACUAUAUGGCUUUAAAAAGCUCGUCUACAUUUUGUCUGAUUAUUAAACAGAAUCACUGCCCUGAACAGUAACUUUUUGCUCAUUAAUAACAGUUCCUGGGUCCACAUAUUUACAUACAAAACAAUAAAACUUAAAUUUAAAAACAUCGAAAGAAAAUAUAAUGUACAAGCUUGAAUUUGGUGAGGAGCUUUUUAUUAUUAUUAUUAUUAUUAUUAUUAUUUACAAAAAGAUUCAGAGACCUGGAUCUCACUUGUAUAAAAGAGUUCUGUGAUACCGCCAUGAUCCUUGAGAAAGAAAAAUCAUGCACCUCAGCCCUCACACACACACACAGAGAAAAGCAUCUGCCUUUUCUCUCUUCUUCUCUUACCCCAUUUAUGGGGGCAAAGGAGGGGGGAGUGUUUCCUAGAACAAGCACAGAUUUUUAAGGACUCUGGUAAGAAUACCAAGUCCAGAGUAGUGUCUGGGUGCAAAUGUCUGGCCUGGGCAGUUUGGUAUGAAAGCAGGUCCGCUGAUCUGUCCUAGACCUGCUGUUCAGCUUCUUUAUAAGUCCUUUCUGAAAAUGGUCUACCAAAGCCAUUCCCUUUAGGAAUCACCUGGCCAAAUACUCUCAUUCAGACUUCUUCCAAAUCUUAAUUAGCUCUCAGAAGCGCAUUAUGAAAUGUAAAAGUCAGUUUGUUCGAUUUGGUUUGACUGAGUGUGUUUCCUUUCUCACGAACUCUGAUAUAACCAGAGGUUUGAGAAACCCCUUUUGUGGCCUAAGAGCUUAGCUAAACAGUGAGUGAAAACUAAGAUGGCUCACAGUUGCCCUUCUGGGUAUUGGUUCACUUCAGCAGGCAGUAGGACUCUCUUGGAGAGUCGCACACACUUGGUUAAGAAGCAGGACAGGGUACUGGGACCUGCGUUGAGGGUUGCCAAGAGACUCCACUUCCAAAUCACCUGGAGGGCAAGACCCCUAACACGACCUAAGGUGGCAAUGAGGAAGGUGAAGGGAGAUUACACACAUUCAAGGGCUCAGCUCUACAGCCCUACAGUUAGCAACUAACCUUGGAAGGUGUGUAGGGAAAGAGUGGGGAGAAGGGAAAGGCGGCCAUCACUCAAGUGAUCUUUAAAUGUAAAGUACAACUGAUUGUGCCUUAAAGAUUCAUAGGUCAAGUAAUGGCCCAUAAGCACCAAGGUGACUAAGGUUCAUUUUAGAGUAUAUAAGGCCCACAAAGAUGUCAACCUUAAAAAUGUAAAACAAACUAGUUGUGAAAAUCUAUUUCCUCACUGCAAACAUAAUCCUUCAAUCCUCUUUGCUUUCCAAGGAAUAUUGCUUUUUCUUCAGAAACAGAGACUGAGUCUUACACCGUUCACUGAUACACAAAGAAAACAGAAACAAAAACUCUUAACUGGGUGUGGGGGGAAACAUUCUUCUCAUGCUUCGACCAGCUGAUUUUGAUACUGUGGACAAAAACAAAAAUUAAAGGCAGUAUUGAAUCUAUGUAUAUAUAACAUAUAUACAUACACACAUUUAUAUAAUCAGCUUUCCUAUAAAGUCAGCAGGUACACGUGACUGUUUAUACCAUUUUGAUGUGUAGUUCUUAAGAUUCCUACCAUCUAAAAUCAUAUGGUCUACCUGACAUACGUCAAUAAAUAAAAUUUUAAAAGCAUGAGGUUAAAAAAAAAGCUGAAAUUAAAUACAGAUUCUAGAUUUGGAUUUAAUAUUAGAACUAUGUGCAGAAUGUGGCAAUUUCUGCAAGCUCAAUCUGUAAUUAAAAAAUAUGAAAAAUAAACCAGUAGACUGUUACAGUUCACAUUAUUUAACUAUAAUGUCCUCUCUCAAGUGUCUUUCCAAGGGAAGCAACGUUAGAAACAAAUCUGGACAAAUUCAUUCACAGUGGUGAGAUCUGCUCUCGGCCUGUCCCCUUCCUUCAGUUCAUCAGCUUUUGGCAUCUGUAGCCAGAGUGACUGGCUCAACAUCCUUUUCAGUCUUCUGGUCACUAGUUUAAAACUGUACUAAGAUUUGCAGAGAACCUUUGGUCAGGCAAACAGAGAUCCACCCUCAGAGCACGCAUCUUCCUCCUCCUCUGAUAGCUUCCAAUUUAGGUUUCUUCACCACUAGCACUGAUUAAGAGCAAAACAAAACCUUAUCAAAGUCAAUUAAGAAUCUUUAAACUUUAUUGACCUCCCUGGGUUACAUACAAAUGAUACGCAUUUCCUUUUUUGUCUGCCACACCUGCCACCAAUAUGCCAAAGGCAAGUCUUCAAAUACCCGAGGAUAUGGAUUAAUUUUACAAGUGACAUUUAAGUCCCCAUUGAGUUACACCUGCUAAGCUCCCAACCAAUUUCAAGCUGUGCACUAUACCAAAGUCUUACACUUGACUUUUAAAGAAAACAAAGUUCAAAAAAACUUCAGCACAGAACAAAGUCUUCUUUUGUGGAAGGGGCAUGAGGCAGGAGUCCUGUUUUUAAAGUAUACAACAGCAGACUUU